rnacentral:rRNA from 1 species
GACGAACGCUGGCGGCGUGCUUAACACAUGCAAGUCGAACGGAAAGGCCCUGCUUGCAGGGUGCUCGAGUGGCGAACGGGUGAGUAACACGUGGGUGAUCUGCCCCUUACUUUGGGAUAAGCCUGGGAAACUGGGUCUAAUACUGGAUAGGACCAUGCUGUAGGUGGUGUGGUGGAAAGAUUAGUUUCGGUAAGGGAUGAGCUCGCGGCCUAUCAGCUUGUUGGUGGGGUAAUGGCCUACCAAGGCGUCGACGGGUAGCCGGCCUGAGAGGGUGGACGGCCACAUUGGGACUGAGAUAGGGCGCAGACUCCUACGGGAGGCAGAAGUGGGGAAUAUUGCACAAUGGGCGCAAGCCUGAUGCAGCGACGCCGCGUGGGGGAGGACGGCCUUCGGGUUGUAAACUCCUUUCGGCCAUGACGAAGCCCUUGUGGUGACGGUAGUGGUAGAAGAAGCACCGGCUAACUACGUG